UACGGGGGGGGCAAGCGUUGUUCGGAAUUACUGGGCGUAAAGGGCUCGUAGGCGGCCAACUAAGUCCGACGUGAAAUCCCCAGGCUUAACCUGGGAACUGCGUCGGAUACUGGUCGGCUUGAAUCCGGGAGAGGGAUGCGGAAUUCCAGGUGUAGCGGUGAAAUGCGUAGAUAUCUGGAGGAACACCGGUGGCGAAGGCGGCAUCCUGGACCGGUAUUGACGCUGAACAGCGAAAGCCAGGGGAGCAAACGGG
rnacentral:rRNA from 1 species